GACGAACGCUGGCGGCGUGCUUAACACAUGCAAGUCGAACGGUAAGGCCCUGCUUGCAGGGUACUCGUGUGGCGAACGGGUGUGUAACACGUGGGUGAUCUGCCCUGCACUUCGGGAUCAGCCGGGGAAACUGGGUCUAAUUCCGGAUAGGAGCCAUCUUUAGUGUGGGGGUUGGAAAGUUUUGUUCGGUGUGGGUUGAGCUCGCGGCCUUUCGGCUUGUUGGUGGGGUGUUGGCUUCCAAAGUGGGGGACGGGUGGCCGGCCUGAGAGGGUGGACGGCCACAUGGGGCCUGAGAUACGCCCCAGACUCCUACGGGGGGCAGCAGUGGGGAAUAUUGCACAAUGGGCGCAACCCUAAUGCGGCGACGCCGCGUGGUGAAUGACGGCCUUCGGGUGUAAAACUCCUUUCGCAAGGGACGAAGCUUUUGUGAACGGAACCUAAAAAAGAGGCACCGGCUAACUACUU
rnacentral:rRNA from 1 species